rnacentral:rRNA from 1 species
UGGGGAAUUUUGGACAAUGGGCGAAAGCCUGAUCCAGCAAUGCCGCGUGUGUGAAGAAGGCCUUCGGGUUGUAAAGCACUUUUGUCCGGAAAGAAAUCCUUGGCUCUAAUACAGUCGGGGGAUGACGGUACCGGAAGAAUAAGCACCGGCUAACUACGUGCCAGCAGCCGCGGUAAUACGUAGGGUGCAAGCGUUAAUCGGAAUUACUGGGCGUAAAGCGUGCGCAGGCGGUUUGCUAAGACCGAUGUGAAAUCCCCGGGCUCAACCUGGGAACUGCAUUGGUGACUGGCAGGCUAGAGUAUGGCAGAGGGGGGUAGAAUUCCACGUGUAGCAGUGAAAUGCGUAGAGAUGUGGAGGAAUAUCGAUGGCGAAGGCAGCCCCCUGGGCCAAUACUGACGCUCAUGCACGAAAGCGUGGGGGAGCAAACAGGAUUAGAUACCCUGGUAGUCCACGCCCUAAACGAUGUCAACUAGUUGUUGGGGAUUCAUUUCCUUAGUAACGUAGCUAACGCGUGAAGUUGACCGCCUGGGGAGUACGGUCGCAAGAUUAAAACUUAAAGGAAUUGAC